UGGGGAAUUUUGGACAAUGGGCGAAAGCCUGAUCCAGCAAUGCCGCGUGUGUGAAGAAGGCCUUCGGGUUGUAAAGCACUUUUGUCCGGAAAGAAAUCCUUGGCUCUAAUACAGUCGGGGGAUGACGGUACCGGAAGAAUAAGCACCGGCUAACUACGUGCCAGCAGCCGCGGUAAUACGUAGGGUGCAAGCGUUAAUCGGAAUUACUGGGCGUAAAGCGUGCGCAGGCGGUUUGCUAAGACCGAUGUGAAAUCCCCGGGCUCAACCUGGGAACUGCAUUGGUGACUGGCAGGCUAGAGUAUGGCAGAGGGGGGUAGAAUUCCACGUGUAGCAGUGAAAUGCGUAGAGAUGUGGAGGAAUACCGAUGGCGAAGGCAGCCCCAUGGCAAUACUGACGCUCAUGCACGAAAGCGUGGGGAGCAAACAGGAUUAGAUACCCUGGUAGUCCACGCCCUAAACGAUGUCAACUAGUUG
rnacentral:rRNA from 1 species